GUGGGGAAUAUUGGACAAUGGGCGAAAGCCUGAUCCAGCCAUGCCGCGUGUGUGAAGAAGGUCUUCGGAUUGUAAAGCACUUUAAGUUGGGAGGAAGGGCAGUAAGUUAAUACCUUGCUGUUUUGACGUUACCAACAGAAUAAGCACCGGCUAACUUCGUGCCAGCAGCCGCGGUAAUACGAAGGGUGCAAGCGUUAAUCGGAAUUACUGGGCGUAAAGCGCGCGUAGGUGGUUUUGUAAGUUGGAGGUGAAAUCCCCGGGCUCAACCUGGGAACUGACUCCAAAACUGGAUGACUAGAGUACGGGAGAGGGUAGUGGAAUUUCCUGUGUAGCGAUGAAAUGCGUAGAUAUAGGAAGGAACACCAGUGGCGAAGGCGACUACCUGGACUGAUACUGACACUGAGGUGCGAAAGCGUGGGGAGCAAACAGGAUUAGAUACCCGAGUAGUCC
rnacentral:rRNA from 1 species